AAAAAAGUUUUCUAGGGUUCCGCUCAUUUGAGGUCUGGACCGAGAGAAAACGCACGUGUGACAACGUGUAACACGGAAGGAUAAAAGCCUGGGAGAU
rnacentral:sRNA from 2 species